rnacentral:tRNA from 1 species
AAAAAAUUAGUUAAUUAAUAACAUUUGCUUGUCAAGCAGAAAUAAUCAAUUUAAUGGUAUUUUUUA